CAGUCGAGGGGCAGCGAGAUCAGUGCUUGCACUGAUUGUCGGCGACCGGCGCACGGGUGCGUAACGCGUAUGCAACCUACCCAUUACAGGGGGAUAACACUGAGAAAUCGGUACUAAUACCCCAUAACAUCCAGGGAGGCAUCUUCUUGGGUUGAAAACUCCGGUGGUAAUGGAUGGGCAUGCGUUGUAUUAGUUAGUUGGUGGGGUAACGGCUCACCAAGACAACGAUACAUAGGGGGACUGAGAGGUUAACCCCCCACAUUGGUACUGAGACACGGACCAAACUCCUACGGGAGGCAGCAGUGAGGAAUAUUGGUCAAUGGACGCAAGUCUGAACCAGCCAUGCCGCGUGCAGGAAGACGGCUCUAUGAGUUGUAAACUGCUUUUGUACGAGGGUAAACGCAGAUACGUGUAUCUGUCUGAAAGUAUCGUACGAAUAAGGAUCGGCUAACUCCGUGCCAGCAGCCGCGGUAAUACGGAGGAUUCAAGCGUUAUCCGGAUUUAUUGGGUUUAAAGGGUGCGUAGGCGGUCGGAUAAGUUAGAGGUGAAAUCCCGAGGCUCAACUUCGGAAUUGCCUCUGAUACUGUUCGGCUAGAGGGUAGUUGCGGUAGGCGGAAUGUAUGGUGUAGCGGUGAAAUGCUUAGAGAUCAUACAGAACACCGAUUGCGAAGGCAGCUUACCAAGCUACUUCUGACGUUGAGGCACGAAAGCGUGGGGAGCAAACAGGAUUAGAUACCCUGGUAGUCCACGCAGUAAACGAUGAUAACUCGUUGUCGGCGAUACAAUGUCGGUGACUAAGCGAAAGCGAUAAGUUAUCCACCUGGGGAGUA
rnacentral:rRNA from 1 species